GUAAGUAGCGGCGAGCGAACGCGGAAGAGCCCAAACCAAUAAAGUUUUCUUUAUUGGGGUUGCGGACAUAUCAUAACGAAGAGGUAUCGUAAUUGAAGAGGUUUGGAAAGACCCACCACAGAAGGUAAUAGUCCUGUAUGUUAAACGAGAAAACUUUAGAUAUGAUCCAGAGUACCACGGGACACGUGAAACCCUGUGGGAAGCAGGAGGGACCACCCUCCAAGGCUAAAUACUACCUAGUGACCGAUAGCGUAUAGUACCGUGAGGGAAAGGUGAAAAGAACCCCGGGAGGG
rnacentral:rRNA from 1 species